CAGCAGGGUCAGGCUUGGUUCCCUUGUUCUCAGGGGGUCAGACAUUCACAGCCAGGCCUAAGAGCAGCACUCAUUAAUAAAGUAAGAGCAGUGACUAUGGAGCAUUGCUUCAUUCCACAUAGAACACAGGUGCCUUGUGUGUCAUUUCCUCAUUGAACUCUUGCAACAAACCCAGGAGCCGGGUACUGUUCUAUCACUACUGUGCAGAUGAGACAAUCCUGAACAGUUAGGUUGUAUGUGGGAUCUGAACCACAGAGCCUGGCUCCAGAGCUCUUGCAUAUGAUCACUGGGGUCCACUGUCAUUAUCAAGGCCAGACGCCCUUGCAGUCUUUCCCGCAGGGCUGCUGAGAAGGACUCUACAAGCUUCGGGCCCUGCCUGCCUCCACUGUCCAGGGCAAUCAGUGUGGGAACGAGAAGAAGAGAUGGAGAUAGAGGAAGUCUGAGCAGAAAUGGAGCUUCCGGGGCCCUCCCCACCCUCCGGAGCAGGCUGGCAGCAUGACAGGUGACAAAUCAAAAGUCAUUCUCUGCUGAACAGGUGUGUAUCAGGGCUGGGGGGCAGGGCCGGGG
rnacentral:lncRNA from 1 species